rnacentral:rRNA from 1 species
UACGGAGGGUGCAAGCGUUAUCCGGAUUCACUGGGUUUAAAGGGUGCGUAGGAGGGCAGGUAAGUCAGUGGUGAAAUCCCCGAGCUUAGCUUGGGAACUGCCGUUGAUACUAUCUGUCUUGAAUAUUGUGGAGGUGAGCGGAAUAUGUCAUGUAGCGGUGAAAUGCUUAGAUAUGACAUAGAACACCAAUUGCGAAGGCAGCUCGCUACACAUAUAUUGACUCUGAGGCACGAAAGCGUGGGGAUCAAACAGG